rnacentral:rRNA from 1 species
UGGGGAAUAUUGGACAAUGGGGGGAACCCUGAUCCAGCCAUGCCGCGUGUGUGAAGAAGGCCUUAUGGUUGUAAAGCACUUUAAGCGAGGAGGAGGGUACUGGUAUUAAUACUACCAGGUACUGGACGUUACUCGCAGAAUAAGCACCGGCUAACUCUGUGCCAGCAGCCGCGGUAAUACAGAGGGUGCAAGCGUUAAUCGGAAUUACUGGGCGUAAAGCGCGCGUAGGCGGCUAAUUGAGUCGGAUGUGAAAUCCCCGAGCUUAACUUGGGAAUUGCAUUCGAUACUGGUUAGCUAGAGUGUGGGAGAGGAUGGUAGAAUUCCAGGUGUAGCGGUGAAAUGCGUAGAGAUCUGGAGGAAUACCGAUGGCGAAGGCAGCCAUCUGGCCUAACACUGACGCUGAGGUACGAAAGCAUGGGGAGCAAACAGG